rnacentral:rRNA from 1 species
CCCUUAGAUGUUCUGGGCUGCACGCGUGCUACAAUGAAGCGUCCAACAAGAUGCGAAGCCGAAAGGCUCAGCGGAUCUUUGAAGUCGUUUCGUGACCGGGACAGUUGAUUGCAAUUAUUCGACUCGAACGAGGAAUUCCUUGUAAUCGCGAUUCAUCAUAUCGCGCUGAAUACGUCCCUGCCCUUUGUACACACCGCCCGUCGCACCUACCGAUUGAAUGGUCCGGUGAAAUCUCGGGACGGCGGCUUGGUCGCUUGCGUCCGACUGCUGAAACUUGAUUAAACCAUAUCAUUUAGAGGAAGGUGAAGUCGUAACA